AUGUCCAAAUAUUUCACUGUGUGGGUGUGUUUGGGUGUACUGUCCACGCUUCUGCCGGCUGCAGGGGCAGUUGAAUGCUCAGAGACGGACCUGCAGCUAAGAUCGAGGCCAAGACUGAUCCCCAGCAUGGUGGCACAUCUGACAGACUGUUUAAGGGAGUGCACUGGCAUGACCUACAUCAAAAAACUGCAACUUCAGGACAAUCACAAUAUACGGCUUACAGACUCCACGGAAGGAGACUCCGGGGAAUAUUGUUGGUCUAUGGAGUUCCAGUGCAUCGCUGGGGAGAGCUUCCAACAUGCCUACGUGCUGUUGCCUGUGGAUAUAGCUGCAGGUGGACAUAAGCGACUGGAAGUCAAAGCCACUGCCCAGACUACCACCAGACUGCAGGCACACAACGGCCCGACCCCAGUCGCAGAGGACUGCGGCCUCCGCUAUGAAGUCACAGAGCACUUCCUCACGGAAGAGCCAGGGGCGUCGUUCUGCAUUCAGGUUGUCAGGCAGGAGGGGGUCCUGGGGGACAACGCUCUCAGAUGUCCUCCCUAUUUGGUCACCCUCUGGCAGAGAAAUCCAAAUCAGUCCAACCAACAAGGGGGUGGAUGAAAUGGAUCAGUGGCGGAAUAAGUUUUAAGACCUUUUACUCGAGAAAAAGCACUACUAUCACUUGUGCUUUGAAAUGUUAUAAGCAAACAUAUGUAAGUAUAAUCAGGAAAAAGAUUCUCUGGCCCCUGGGACUGUUAUAUAUGCUGCAUAUCAUAUUAUUGUUAUUCAUGCAUUUAUGUGUAAGCAACAUUUCAGAGUUGAGGUUGGUUGAAAGAUGCUCAUUUUUGUACUAAUUUUAUAUAAGGCUGCAACUAAUGAAUAUUGUCAUGCAUUAAUCUAAAACUCAUAUAAUAAUGAGAAAAGCCCAUCACAAAUACCAAAAGGGACACAGAAUUUGUUUCAUCCAACCAAGUGUCCAAAUCUGAAAAAAUAUUUAAAACAUUAGAAGGAAAAGCACCAAUUGUCACAUCUGACAAUUUGCAUUCAUUGUUUUGUUGUUCCAUUUCUAAUUUUGCACAGUGUCAGGUGUUUGAUACAAGUAUGAUAUUUCCUUCUGAAGCAUAUCUGAGUGUAAAGUAUCAUAAAGAAGAAAUACAGUUCUUAUGUACAAAUACCUUACAUUUGUACUUAAGUACAGUACUUAAUUAAAUAUACAUUCCACCACUGUACAAUCUAUAACGUUGACUGGAAGUGAGGUUAAUUCAACAUAUUGUAGUUUAUAUAAGCUGUUAUACCAUAAUUAUAACUGCAUCUAAAAAUAUAGCUUCUGCCUAUAUAUCAUAACCAUGAUACAUACAAUAGCUUGUAACUAAUUCACAAGCAAUAAUCACUCGAAUACACUUGUCCUGUACAGUAAUUGGCGAAUCAAUACAGGAUCAGAAAAGAUAACAGAAUGUAAUUUAUUCAAAUGCCACUUUGGGGUUUUAAUUUUUUCCAUCGCUCUUGGCUCUCGUGUUACUCUGUUUCCUGGCUGAACAGAAAAUGACUGUACUUUUAUGAUUUGUGCAAAGUAUAUGACGAAUAGAUGUUGUUUAUGGGCUCUUUUGUAGUUUGUUUUUAUAUCGGUGUCAUCCAGAGUUUGAACUUUCCCUUUUACAUUGUGCUGUGUGACAGAAGGUGUUUUUCCAGCACUUUAUGUACGUGACGCAGUUUUAUGUAGCAUAUGCACCCAUGUUUAUUUUGAGCCCCUAAGGGUAGCUGUCAUUGACGAUGAUAAUUUGAAAUCGUUAGCAUACCAGAUUAAUUACUUUUAGUAUAUUAUGAGCACUGUUUUUGCAUAUAUCAUUUAAUUGUUUUCCAAUGCAGACCUUUUAGAAUCAGAGUUCAUGAUAGUUUGUCUUUGUUUGUUUUUUUCAUGUGACUCUAAACCAUUUGUUCAAGUUGUGAAAGUUGACACAGAAGCAGAUGUGGAUCACUGCGCAUGUAUGAAACCGCCUCUGUCAAACACUGAGAAAUGUUUAUUGGAAAAGCUGCAAGGCAUCGUCAGCGCUCUGCUCGAUGUUCUCAACGGCAACGAGAGUGAUGCAAAAGUUCCCUGUUACAUGAACAAUAUAAAUAUGAGAUGUUAAUGUUUGUUUGGAAAAAUACACGAUACACUUCAUUUUCCUUUUACUAUACAUGUUUGUUGUGCAGAGUUUAAGAUGCAUUAAAAUAUACCAUUGAUACUAAUGCAAACCAGAUUCCCAGAACAAUUCAUUGCAAAACAGCAACUGUCGACUUUUUGAACAUAUUUGUUUGGACAGAUCAUAAUACUCUAGAUUUUUUUGGUGAUAUACAGUAAUAUUAUAUUCCGUCAGUUUGCAUCCUGUGUCUUUUUGUCUGAUUACUGUUCAGUAUAGUAGCUUAUGUCAGUAUGUAUUAAUAUAAUGUGAAGCUUCCAUCAUUUACCAUAAACUAAAUUUCACCAGCCACUGACUGUGUGGCCCAGAAGAAACGAUAUACAGUAGUGCCACCUGGUGGUUUCCAUGUUAACUAAUGGAAAUACAGUAACAUUGUACCCUACACCAUCCAACCACUGGAUGGCAAGCUAAUCUUAUGGCAGUAUUGUGUGUAUGUGUGUGUGUGCGUGUGUUUCAACAAAUUGUUAAUUGUAUAUUUCAAUAGCAGAGACACUUCAUACAACCAGUGUUGCGUAUCAAACCCUAGAUGGGUCCAGUUUUGCUAAACAGACUAUGACAGAGAAGUGUACACCGCUGAUAAUCACAACUUAUGACAAUAAAUAAAGCCAAAUCAAACUAUCAACUCAUCGACUAUUUUCAUCUCUCAUAUUACUUCAUAUUGAAAACAUGGAUGUGCAUGCAAAACAUACUCACUUUUACAUUUACAAAACAAGUGAUGAAAACUCACUGAAGUCAUGUUUUAUGUGAUUUUGUGGUUGAAUAACUAUGCCCUUUUUUGUAAUUUUACAACUUAAUACUAGCAUGUGUUUUUAAUAUUACAGUCCGAUGGUCCCCUCAGCUGUUCUGAGUCUCCACUUAGAUCUAAAUGAAGGGAGAUGGUGUGGUAUGCUGUUGGCAGGCGCUCAGCAGCAACGUAACAUAAGUGUCCAGUAACAGACCCCUUCUCCACGGCCCUGUGAAUCCAAGAACAGCAACACGAGGACACACACGAACUUAAAGUUUUCAACCCAGGCAAAACUUUCCCCAUCCCCCAGGGUUUUAUCCUCAUGCUCUUACUGAAAUGAUUUCUCUGUUGUUCGCUGCAAGGCCGAGCUCAGGGCUGCGGACAGUUUUGUCAUCAAAACCGGGCACCGAGGUGGCAUGGUGUAUCAGAAAACACACGGUCUGGCUUUGGGUAUUUUAGGUCAGGAGGAAAGUGAAUCCCUGGCAACUCCAUCAUGCAUGCUUUUUUACCUGUGAAUAAGAAAUACACUGCACCAACAACCAAUGAAAAUCUCGUGAAAGAUUGUUUUUCGAAUGCCAAAUUUAAGCAUGGAUAUUUGCUUUCCUACAUUUGGCACAAUGUGUCGCACAUUUCUCCAAACAGUCCACUGUCUUACCUGUCUAUCCCAUCAAGUUGUGCGUCUAAUUUGGUUUUUACCAUUUUCACAGGAGGCCAAGUGGCAACUGUGUUUUUUUCAAAGCGGACCAUGCAUGACAGAGUAAGUAUAUACAUACAUACAUACAUAGGUAUAUAUAUAUACACACACCUUUUUAGGCUGGUAGUCUAUUGGCAGAGGUUAUGGAUCAUACGGGAUGAACCACAGCAGCAAUUGAUUACAAAAAUAAAUGAAUACUUUUUUUCAAUCUGCCAUUCUUUCAUUGCAUUUUAAUUGUACUAUUGUGUCCUUUGGAUUUCUUAAAAAAGAUAAUUCUCGUCUGUGUGUCUGUUGAUGACCUUCCUUUGCUUCAGGUGAGCAGGUACUUGUUGUUCUCCACGUGAUUCUUCGACGAUUCGCAAACGUGCCUCAGCCUCGACGAUGAGUCAGACGCAGGGUUCCACUCGGGACGGCCCUCGCACCACCGUGAGGUACGAGCGGACAGUAUGUAAACACGGAUGACUGUACCAUGUCUGUCGCGCAGGGGGGCCGCCGUGGAGGUCGGACGCACUGCCGCGAUUGAGCACAAACUACAAGCGACCCAGGCGUCGCCGGACUCGUGCGUUACAGCCGGGCCACGUUUACUCUUCUAGCGGGAACCGACGCGCCUCGGACGUGUUUUCGGACGCGUCGGGUGCAUAAAUCUCAGCUCGGUCCCCGGGCGGCUGGAUGGAGUUAGAACAAUCCAGGCAGGCGGCGAGUGGACGAGACGACCCAAAACACACACACACACACACGGCACCGACUGUUAGCCGACAACUCUCAGACGGCCACGGCGGAGAUUUAAAACGGACGAAUUAACCCCCCCCCGAGCCACCCCACCCACACCGCCCCCCCCGACGGCGCCGAACAAUGUGACCGAGCGAGAGGAACCACCUCGGCGAGGACUGUCAGGGAACGCAUGACUGCCAACUUCGGCUGCGGCGAGGGGCGCACCAUGGCAUCUCAGCCGAGGUAAGGCAGACGCAGGAGCCGCCGCCGCCGCAGCAGCAGCCGCAGCAGCAGCAGCUAGCUUGCGCUAGCUCGCGGGGCGCUAGCCUCCCCAGUUCACUGCUGGCGUUAAUUAGCUCGGGCGCUGUUAGCCGGAGUCUUAGCCUGCGCACCAGCGGAGUGCGCUUGACACCGCGUCGAAGUGAAGUUUUGUCUUUUUACUUUUUAGUUCGGAACUCUGAAGGUGUCAGGUAGGGGGGGGUCCGGGUGUUGUGAAUGUGAGACUCGCUGGGGGCUUUCAGCCCGAUAAGCACUUCGACGAAGAGGCGGAAUCAGCUGGAAAGAUCAGGCUGUGUGAUUGACAGCAGCUGGUCCCCCGAGGGGGGCGGGGCGGGGCGGGGUCUGUUUUCACCGGCCGCUCUGCGUGCUGGGUUCACGCUCUUCGUGGUCACUUUAAUGAGAAAUAAAGAAAAGAAAAAGGCUCGGAUGGAUAACAGCGGAACUCGGGGCCAGGAGGACACGGUGGUUAGUGAAGGAGAGUCUGUUGUGCUCUCGUUAAUCUCCACACUCCUGGUAAGCCCCACCCCCCCCCAGAAACAUCCACAUGUCAGGUGGGAUGCAGCACACAUUAUGCCUUUUUGAUUAAUUUGACUCCUGUCUACUUUUCAUUUUAAGUCAUAAUUGUGCUCUACAUAAUGUAUUUCUACUAAUGUAACUGGAGUUGCAAGUAGUGAUCGUUUUCGUUAUCAAUUCAUCUACAGGUUAUUUUCUUGAGUAACACAUGCACACAGUAAUGUGAUAUGUCCAUAUUACUUGUUUUAUUCACCAAAG
ensembl:lncRNA